rnacentral:rRNA from 1 species
GACGUAGGUGGCGAACGUUAUCCGGAAUUAUUGGGCGUAAAGGGUGCGUAGAUGGCCUGAUAAGUUAGCAGUGGGAAAUCGAGGCUCAACCUCGUGGAAGCUGGUAAUACUGUCAGGCUCGAGUGCAGGAGAGGUUAACGGAACUCCAUGUGGAGCGGUAAAAUGUGUAGAGAUCGGAAAGAACACCAACGGCGAAAGCACUCUGCUGGGCCGACACUGACACUGAGAGACGAAAGCUAGGGGAGCGAAUGGG